UUGCAAUAUUUAUUUCUCAUGAGCUAAUCUGUUUUCUUUUGCCCACAUGCGCUUGUUUAUGUCAGCAUCCAUUUGUUGCUGCAUAUGGAGGUGUACAUUGCCCUUGGAUCAACACGGAGAAGACACUAGUUGGAGGUGACACCGAUUCUUAAAAGUGCAAGGCACCGCACCGCAAAUGCUCACCUCAGGAAACUUCUGCUCGGAACCGGCAUCGAAGAAUAGACUUUGCUCUUUUGCUCGGAACUGGUAUUCAAGAAGUGGCUUCGCUUGCCAAUGGCGAUGGCGGGCUACCGAGAAGAAGAUUAAAGCGUGUGUGAUUUCUUCAGAGGCUGCCACUUGUUAAUGUAUAGUGUUUUUUCUUCCUUGGGGUUAUUCAAGAAAAAGCUGGCUGGAUCACAUAAUCAACUGGGAGAUGCACUCAAUAACGGAUACUUGGGAAUCUGACAACUAGGCUGGAAGCUGUGCCUGAACUGCAUCGAACUCUGGGGAUUUGGAUAUUCCAGGUCAAUGGAGAUGAUUCAUGCAUGGGUUUAGUUUUAGCUUCGCUCCAUUACCGGGACAAGUACCCCCCAUGGAGCUCAGCUCGCUGCUGAAACUUUCUUCCUUGUCGACUUUGCUGCGCCAAUGGCAUGCUUGGAAGCUUAUUCCCACAUGACUUUGUUGCGCCAAUGGCACGCUCCGAAGCUUAGUUUGAUCUCCUUGACGGUGUCGAUGGCGUGAAGUCUUAGAAUGGUUGUAUGUGGUUUGAAAAUAUCUGAUAUUCCACUGGCAAUGCUCAAUUCAGGCGACCGAGAGAUUCAGUAUGUGCCAGUGAAGUUACAGAAAUGACAACAAAGUAAGACGUGAAACAAAGCAGCCCCAUUUUCGCCGCUGCGUGAGAAGGCAUCAUAUAAACUUUAAUUUCUUUUUCUCUGUAUCAUUGAGAAGUUGUUGGUCUGUAGGAACUAGUGAUGAGAAGAUAGAGAGAAGACCAAAAACUGUAUCAUUGCUACUGUGCAUAAACAUAAGAUCAAAUAUGAUAUGCUGGUUGGGAGGGAGCAUGCCUGUCCCGAUCUGUACUUAAACGAUAAACUUGUUAUUAAUGGUCGUGGUGUCGUCAUGGUUAUGGUGCAUUUGUAUAUAUAAGCAUCAAUAAUGAAGCAUCUUAGUCAGAUUAUCAUUUCUUUUAUUCGUUGCUGACGGAGUUCCUACUCUGGUGGCUUUGAUCCCCCACCCGUGCAAUUAAACAAGAUGCAACACACGAAUAAUACUGGCACAGCCUACGUCAGUGCAACCCGUUGAAUAUGCUGGUCAGAGAUUAGGGGAGACUGUGAACCACAUGCCCCAUGUUCAACAGCAGUUGUCUUACCUACCUAUGGGGUUCAUGGUUACAGUAGAUUAGAUCCAUCAAAGUUCAGGCAAGGUGCGCCGCUAUUAUGCGCUCUCGGCACCAUGACAGGGCCUGUCUGUUCAGCUAGCAUCAAGUCUUGGAGAUAUGCAUGAAAGGAUUAUUCUCACACAUGCAAAAA